CAGCCUCUAUGGCGAAGCAUCGGCUGGUUAUGGCGGCAAGGUGACUAUGACCUGCUUUUCACGCAGUUAUUCUGAAAGACAAGAUUUUAAGUGGUACAAAGACGGCGAAGAAAUCAAAAGCUCUUACGGUUACCAUAUCAAAGACGAAAUUCUUCUGGACUUUGAUAAUUGGAAAGGAACGUCUGUGCUCACCAUUUCCCAUGUAAAGGUGAAAGACAUAGGCUUGUACACCUGUCGCGCCACUCACAGUGAUAAUUCUACCGCAUUACUCAGAUUUGAUAAAAAUGGACAUAUUGAUUAUCAUAAAUACAUGUAAGGAUUAAGCCCAUGUGAACUGAUCGAAUCGGCGCUUUUAAUUUCCAAAUCCCAAACCCAAAGAAUUUCCUGCGGCUGCUUGGAGUUCUUGAUUUUUUUUUUUUUUUUUUUUUGAAUUUCUUGGAGUGUUUUUACGCCCGAAGAAAAGGGUUGGACCUCUGCGUUGUUGCCAGUUCGGUCGGUCUUCCCACUGUUGCCAAAGCAAGCGAGAGAAUAUCGCCGCUGCUCUUUCUCUUAUCAAACAUCAAGUUCUUAGAUGUGCAAUUUUUAGGUAUGCAAUUUUUCUGUCACUCAUGUUGAUGAUGUACAAGAAUAAAUUAGUGACAAGAUGAAUAAUUAGUGUAGAAGUCAGAAGACAAAUAUAUGAAUAUGCUAUAAAACUAA